CCACUGCAUGUCUAGUACGGCGAGUGAGCGGCAACAGCUCAAUUUGAAAGCUAGCCUUCGGGUUCGCAUUGUAAUUUGUAGAGGAUGCUUUGGGUAAAACGCCAGUCUAAGUUCCUUGGAACAGGACGUCAUAGAGGGUGAGAAUCCCGUAUGUGACUGGAAAUGUUAACCUAUGUAAAGCUCCUUCGACGAGUCGAGUUGUUUGGGAAUGCAGCUCUAAAUGGGAGGUAAAUUUCUUCUAAAGCUAAAUAUUGGCGAGAGACCGAUAGCGCACAAGUAGAGUGAUCGAAAGAUGAAAAGCACUUUGGAAAGAGAGUUAAAAAGCACGUGAAAUUGUUGAAAGGGAAGCGCUUGCAAUCAGACUUGUUUAAACUGUUCGGCCGGUCUUCUGACCGGUUUACUCAGUUUGGACAGGCCAGCAUCAGUUUCGGCGGCCGGAUAAAGGCUCUGGGAAUGUGGCCUCCACUUCGGUGGAGGUGUUAUAGCCCAGUGUGUAAUACGGCCAGCCGGGACUGAGGUCCGCGCUUCGGCUAGGAUGCUGGCGUAAUGGUUGUAAGCGACCCGUCUGA
rnacentral:rRNA from 1 species